ACCCAAACCUGUACUUGCCUGCUUGAGGCUGAGGUGUUAAUCCAACACAGGGCACUUCCCACGGGACACUGUGGACAAUUAUUCAGCAGCAGUUUCUGCACUGCAGGACACGGUGUGCCUGACAGCAUGCUGUCCUGAUAGAAGGCUACCAAGUGAUUGUACUACAGCUUAUUCACAGGUUGGAAGCUGGAUGAUGGCUAUCUCUCUAUUCAUCUGAGCUUUGACACAACUGGACAAGAAAAACUAGAAAGCAACAUUUACAUGCCAACAUCUUUCCAAAAAUCUGGAAGGCGUGAUGGAGAAUUAGGAUCUAGUGAACAAAUCAAAAUGCCAGCCAAGCUCUUCCAGAAAUCUGGAUUUUCACAAAGAUGAGCAUGUAAUGAUAGUUUUGCAUUUGCCCAAAUAGUCAGCUUUUUCCACUCCAUUGUAUCCUACAGUCCCUCAUCUCCUCACUGAGCUGCUGCAGCUAAACAUUAGUUUUGUGUGAAGAUUUGCUGAGCAGUGAAAGAUAAAGCAGGCUGGAGAGAGGAGAAGAGAGCCCGGGAAUGCUAUUUGUGUGAUGUCAAAAGAGCACCAGAGUUUACUGUUAUCUCUGAUGAAAUGCUGAAGGGCAAGAUGGCAGCGUGUCUAAUCCUCAUGAGACAAGUUUCCUGGAACUGAACAGAAGACAAAGUGUGAAUAUCGCAGCUUCGUAAAACUGUGCCUGUUCUGUAGAAAAUCAGUCAGCAAUACAAAACGAUUGUUUAAGAAGGCAAUGUCUUGGCAUCUAUCUUAAGUUGCAUAUAAACAGUUCAAUCUUUCUCAACCUAGUUGUAGUUGCAGAAGCAAAACUGGGUAAUGAGAACAUUGUUUCGAAAUGGAAAUUAAUGAACGAGUUGCUUACUAAUCAGAGAGAUGUUUCUUUGCUGGCACAGAUAGACACCCUCUGGUUUCUUUCCCUUCUUGAAUGACUAUAAUAAUGGGACAAAAUAAAAGCUUUUACUUCAUAGAGAAAUACUAGCUCAGAACUACAUUGAAAGCCAGCAGAAGAAGAACAGGGUCUUGAAGGGCCUCCUGUCAACUUUCUCCCUGUUCAAGCUGAGUGAAGUAGCUACAAGCUGUCAGAUACAAGCAAUCAAACAACCAAAGGGACACCACAGCUCUAACUGGACAUGCUUAUAAUGAAAGGCUACACUUGAUGAACAAGUCUUUCAGAUUAGUCUUUGCUAUGCAAGUAUAUUGUAGAAAAAAAUUGGUACAAACAAGUUGAGGAAAAAAACUCAAGAGAGAAGAAGGUAAAUAAAACUGAGGUUUUGACUGUCCUAAGAGAUCAGGACUACAAAUGACGUAAAAGCCUUUUGCAUUUAUGUUUUAAUAUUCCUGGAUAACUACAAACUUGUGAAGAGUAGGAACCAAGAGUACCCAAGCAUGACCAGUGCAGCUGAAAAUAAAGUAUUAACCCUGGUGAUGUAUUUCAGAGUGAUCUGCUUUUCAGAGGAAGGUAUGUGGGGGGAUUUACUAAUACAAUAGAAAGGGAAAUAUUAUUAAAUUAUGUCUGAGGAAGAUAUUCUUCAUAUCUCUAAGGAGACUUAAUC